rnacentral:rRNA from 1 species
UACGAAGGGGGCUAGCGUUGUUCGGAUUUACUGGGCGUAAAGCGCACGUAGGCGGGUCGUUAAGUCAGGGGUGAAAUCCCGGAGCUCAACUCCGGAACUGCCUUUGAUACUGCUAGUCUCGAGUCCGGAAGAGGUGAGUGGAAUUCCGAGUGUAGAGGUGAAAUUCGUAGAUAUUCGGAGGAACACCAGUGGCGAAGGCGGCUCACUGGUCCGGUACUGACGCUGAGGUGCGAAAGCGUGGGGAGCAAACAGG